ACAUGCAGUCGAACGAUGAACCACUUCGGUGGGGAUUAGUGGCGAACGGGUGAGUAACACGUGGGCAAUCUGCCCUGCACUCUGGGACAAGCCCUGGAAACGGGGUCUAAUACCGGAUAUGACCGUCUUGGGCAUCCUUGACGGUGUAAAGCUCCGGCGGUGCAGGAUGAGCCCGCGGCCUAUCAGCUUGUUGGUGAGGUAAUGGCUCACCAAGGCGACGACGGGUAGCCGGCCUGAGAGGGCGACCGGCCACACUGGGACUGAGACACGGCCCAGACUCCUACGGGAGGCAGCAGUGGGGAAUAUUGCACAAUGGGCGAAAGCCUGAUGCAGCGACGCCGCGUGAGGGAUGACGGCCUUCGGGUUGUAAACCUCUUUCAGCAGGGAAGAAGCGAAAGUGACGGUACCUGCAGAAGAAGCGCCGGCUAACUACGUGCCAGCAGCCGCGGUAAUACGUAGGGCGCAAGCGUUGUCCGGAAUUAUUGGGCGUAAAGAGCUCGUAGGCGGCUUGUCACGUCGGGUGUGAAAGCCCGGGGCUUAACCCCGGGUCUGCAUUCGAUACGGGCUAGCUAGAGUGUGGUAGGGGAGAUCGGAAUUCCUGGUGUAGCGGUGAAAUGCGCAGAUAUCAGGAGGAACACCGGUGGCGAAGGCGGAUCUCUGGGCCAUUACUGACGCUGAGGAGCGAAAGCGUGGGGAGCGA
rnacentral:rRNA from 1 species